rnacentral:rRNA from 1 species
GACGAACGCUGGCGGCGUGCUUAACACAUGCAAGUCGAACGGAAAGGCCCUGCUUUUGUUGGGUGCUCGAGUGGCGAACGGGUGAGUAACACGUGAGUAACCUGCCCUUGACUUUGGGAUAACUUCAGGAAACUGGGGCUAAUACCGGAUAGGAGCUCCUGCUGCAUGGUGGGGGUUGGAAAGUUUCGGCGGUUGGGGAUGGACUCGCGGCUUAUCAGCUUGUUGGUGGGGUAGUGGCUUACCAAGGCUUUGACGGGUAGCCGGCCUGAGAGGGUGACCGGCCACAUUGGGACUGAGAUACGGCCCAGACUCCUACGGGAGGCAGCAGUGGGGAAUAUUGAACAAUGGGCGGAAGACUGAUGCAGCAACGCCGCGUGCGGGAUGACGGCCUUCGGGUUGUAACCCGCUUUCGCCUGUGACGAAGCGUGAGUGACGGUAAUGGGUAAAGAAGCACCGGCUAACUACGUG